rnacentral:rRNA from 1 species
GAUGAACGCUGGCGGCGUGCCUAAUACAUGCAAGUCGAACGAGGUGCUUUUGUAGCAAUACGAGAGUAUCCUAGUGGCGAACGGGUGAGUAACGCGUUGGUGACCUACCCCAAAGUGUGGGAUAACAGUCCGAAAGGAUUGCUAAUACCGCAUGUGGUCUUCGGGUUUAGAAACUGAUGACUAAAGGAGCAAUUCGCUUUGGGAGGGACCUGCGUCCCAUCAGCUAGUUGGUGAGGUAAUGGCUCACCAAGGCUACGACGGGUAGGGGACCUGAGAGGGUGACCCCCACAAUGGAACUGAAACACGGUCCAUACACCUACGGGUGGCAGCAGUAGGGAAUAUUGCACAAUGGGCGAAAGCCUGAUGCAGCAACGCCGCGUGUGCGAUGAAGGCCUUCGGGUCGUAAAGCACUUUUCUGGGAGAUGAGCAAGGACAGUAUCUCAGGAAUAAGUCUCGGCUAACUACGUGCCAGCAGCCGCGGUAAU